UAUUGUUUGUUUUCUUAAUGACUGCCAUUCUGACAGGGCUGAAAUGGAAACUAAACGUUGAGUUGCAUUUCCCUGAUGGCUACUGUUGUUUAAUGUUUUCCCACAUUUUUUGGUCAUUUGUACUAAUUCAUUUUUGUAAAGUGUCAGUUCAGAUCCAUUGCCCAUUUACUGUUUGGAUACUUGCUAACUAGUUUGUGCAUUUUGGUAUGACUUUUUUUUUUUUUUUUUUUGAGACAGGGUGGCCUCGAACUCACUAUGUAGCUAAUGCUGGCCUUGAACUACUCCUGACCCUCCUGCAUCAGCCUCUCAAGGUCAAGCCUGGCUCAAUGUGGCAUAUUCUGUGGGACUGAUUUUAAAGGAUUGUUGCUUUGGUCGUGUUGGUUCUGGGCUUUUUCUCUCAGUCGAUUUGUAGUGCUUGUGCUCCCCAAUGGCUUCAUAUCCAGCUGCAAUUCCUGCCUAACCUCUUGGAACAAAGCAGAACUGAAAUUGGGUGGCAUGUAUUUUGGCUUCCUUUUUGAGUGUGUUUUCAUGUGCCACAUACACACGUGUGCGUGUCUAUGAGAAGGCUGGAGGACAGUCUCGGGUGUUGCUCCUAAGACAUUAUCUCUCUUGCUUGCUUCUUGUUGUUGUUGUUUAUUUUUGAGACAGAGUCUCUCAUUACUUUGGGGUUCACCAAGUAGUCUAGGCUAGGUGAAUAGAGGGCAGGCCUAGAGAUCCACUCAGAUUACAAGCCAUGCCGCCAUGUUUGGCAGGUUUGUUUUGUGUUGUUUUGUGUUGUGUUGUGUUUUUGUUUUGAAUAUGGGUUUUAUGGGUUGCCCUCACACUUGCAGUGUGCACUCCUUACUGACAGAGCUGUCACUACAGCCAUGGCUUAACUUUUCAAGUUUCAAACAGCCAAGCACUUUAUUUUUCUUGACAUGUUUGCAUCGUUACUAUUUGUGUUAGCAGAAAUGACCCCUGGGGGGGGUGGAUUUCAGAGCACUUCAUAAUUGUUUACUUAAUGAUUAAGAGAGUUGAAGUCAUUGCUGCUGAAAACACACAUGGAUGGGGGACCAUUCUGCUCCUCUUCCCAUCAGAAGAACACGGGGACUCUGCAGUUAAUCAGUACUUGGACCUGACUAGGGUGACCAUGGUGCAGCAUUAGCAGUGUUCAGUCAGAGCCACUGAGUGAAGAGCGUGAGCCAGUCAGUCCACUGCAGUAAAGAUGAAAGUUUAUAAUUGUAGAUAGAUUUUGUCGUGGUCUCGUAUUUCCAGAAUUUUUUUGUAAUCCUUGUUUUUCAUCCUUUUACUCCACAGAGGAGAUUUCAAGUGAGGAGGAGGAAGAGACAAGUGUGAGUGCUCAAGCUAUGCAGUCACAAAUUGGCAGAAGUGAGGAGGAGGAUGAUGACGACUGGGAUGAAGAAGUGCUGGAGGAGACAGCCCUCGAGGGCUUCAGCACCCCACUGGACCUGGACAACAGUGUGGAUGAAUACCAGUUUUUUACACAAGCUCUGCUGAGUAUGUCUUCACUUGUCAUCCCCCUGGCCCCAUUCCCCAAACUUGAAGAUAAUUCUUUUAAACAUCUUUAAUUUCUUCCUAGUAGAAGUUGUUUUGGGAUCUGCCCCCAUAUUGGUAUAGACUUUUACAUUUUUAUCUUUUGUUUUAGAAAUAACCAAACAUAUUUAAAAUGAAAAAAGUUAGCACAAUAACACACUCAGAAGCUGUCCUAAGUUUCCAUUGCUGUAGCAUGAGCGUCAGGGUGAGCCUGCAAGUCAUCUUCACAGGAGUCAUUUUAGACACUGUAGCAUAUCAUGCUCAGACUCAAGCACAAAUCGCUCUCCCCAUCUCUUUCACAACUGAGACCUUAUUGGUCGAUGAGCAGGGUAUAUAGACAUUUCAGUUCUUAACCUAUAUACCCAAACUCUGAAGAGCCAUACACUGUGUCCACCUACCCACAUGAACAGGCACACAGACACACCUGGGAUCAGGUGGGCUGGGCUCUCCGAUAAAGAGGCUGCAGCACCACUGAAGCUCAGUGAGUUUAUGGCAAACAGUUGAACAAGGAGGUGAGGUUAUCAUCUACAGCUGAACAAGGAUGCAGGUUUAGCUCAUCUGCGUAGAAUACAUUUCUUCCUCUUAAGGAGCAUCCUCAAGUUGUAAGCACUGGGUGGCAGUUGUUGAGAGGAGCUGUGGUGGACAUUUUCUGCACACAUUGUCAAUAUUUGCACAUGGACUCAAGGGAGGCUUUGCCAUUCUCUGAGCCUCAUUCUCAGAAAGCUCUGCCCUCCCAUGGGGCUGAGGCACUGGAGUCCUUGACAUGGCUGAACUCAUGUCAGUGACACACAUUUGACUCAGAACUUCACUUGCUUCCUACAGAUAAAACUGAAAAAAUAACCCAAUGAAACAUUUAGCAAAUUAUUAGUCUAGUAGUUGU
rnacentral:lncRNA from 1 species